CCACCUGUAUAAUGAGAGGAAUAUUUUUAUGUCUUAGUUAAAUAGGCGCCCACCUGUAUAACGAGAGGAAUAUUUUCAUGUCUUAGAUGAAUAGGCGCCCACCUGUAUAAUGAGAGGAAUACUUUUAUGUCUUAGAUAAAUAGGCGCCCACUUGUAUAAUGAGAGGAAUAUUAUUAUGUCUUAGUUAAAUAAGCGCCCACCUGUAUAACAAGAGAAAUACUUUUCAUGUCUUAGAUAAAUAGGCGCCCACCUGUAUAAUGAGAGCAAUAUUUUUAUGUCUUAGAUGAAUAGGCGUCCACCUGUAUAAUGAGAGGAAUAUUUUUAUGUCUUAGUUAAAUAGGCGUCCACCUGUAUAAUGAGAGGAAUAUUUUUAUGUCUUAGUUAAAUAGGCGCCCACCUGUACAAUGAGAGGAAUAUUUCUAUGUCUUACAUGAAUAGGCGCCCACCUGUAUAAUGAGAGGAAUAUUUUUAAGUCUUAGAUAAAUAGGCGCCCACCUGUAUAAUGAGAGGAAUAUUUUUAUGUCUUAGUUAAAUAGGCGCCCACCUGUAUAAUGAGAGGAAUAUUUUUAUGUCUUAGUUAAAUAGGCGCCCACCUGUAUAACGAGAGGAAUAUUUUUCAUGUCUUAGAUAAAUAGGCGCCCACCUGUAUAAUGAGAGGAAUAUUUUUAUGUCUUAGUUAAAUAGGCGCCCACCUGUAUAAUGAGAGGAAUACUUUUAUGUCUUAGAUAAAUAGGCGCCCACCUGUAUAAUGAGAGGAAUAUUUUUAUGUCUUAGUUAAAUAGGCGCCCACCUGUAUAACGAGAAGGAUACUUUUCAUGUCUUAGAUAAAUAGCCGCCCACCUGUAUAACGAGAGG
rnacentral:lncRNA from 1 species